rnacentral:misc_RNA from 1 species
GAUGAAGAACGCAGCGAAACGCGAUAGGUAAUGUGAAUUGCAGAAUUCAGUGAAUCAUCGAAUCUUUGAACGCACAUUGCGCCCCUUGGUAUUCCAUGGGGCAUGCCUGUUCGAGCGUCAUUUACACCCUCAAGCUCUGCUUGGUGUUGGGCGUCUGUCCCGCUGCUUUGCGCGGACUCGCCUCAAAGGUAUUGGCAGCGAUCAUGCCAGCUUCUCGCGCAGCACAUUGCGCUUCUUGAAGUUCUGGUGGAUCAGCGUCCAUUAAGCUUACCUUCAUGACUUGACCUCGGAUCAGGUAGGGAUACCCGCUGAACUUAAGCAUAUCAAUAAGCGGAGGA